AAACUCUGCGUUUAAAGAGUUACCCCCUUAGGGCUUCCCUGUUAUCCUGCUUCAAGAACUCAACCUCGAUGUCUCCUAAUCUCAUCUCUUUGCAUCCUAUGUCGCUAUCUCUUGACCUUCCUGGUGGUUCAGUGUAUUUAUUUUAAUUUUCCAUAUCUGUUAUUCACAUUGAAUCCAGUUUCCAUGGUGACUCCUCAGUUUCCUUCAUCUCAAAUCUGUAAAUAUAAGCAGGUUGAGAUUACGAUGGACAUUGAGAACCAGGGGGGAGGGGUUUAGGUUCCUGCUUUGAAAGAAUCGAUAUCUCUUUUGAUUUUUUUUCUUGCUUUUCAUUUUUGAUUCUUAGGGAUUCUAUAAUAGCAGCGACAAAAAAACGGAUAAAGAUAUUUCUGCGGAUUCAACGACUUUCGUUCUCACUGAAGAGGAAUACUGUGAGGAGAUUCUUCUAGAGAAAGAGAUACUUCUAGCCAAACUUCGGGAUGAUGAGGAGAGAGCCAAUUGUGCUGCGUCUGGUGAAGCUCCUGAUCUGAAUGAUACCCAGUUUACUAAACUGGAUGAGCUCUUGACUCAGACCCAACUCUACUCUGAGUUUAUUUUUGAGAAAAUGGAGGAUAUCACAAAAGCAAAUCUUCUUUUUGCCUUUUUGUUGGUUAAAGAACAUGAUUUUUCUUAAUUGAGUUAGUGUGCUUUGGUAGAAUGGGAUAGAAGGUGAGACUCUAAAAGCCGAGCCUGAGAAGAAAGGAGGUCGUGGACGCAAAAAAGGAUGCUACUCAGGCCGCCAAUCUGAAGGUUAAUAAAGCUGUUGCUGCAUGAUUUCAAGAGCUAAAGGUCAUAUAUCUGCCAACUCAGAUCUGAGAGAGGAAAAAAAGGCAUGAAAGAGCAGAGUGAAUUCAUGGGAAUCUCUACUCCUCCUGAUUGGAGAUCUCAACAACUUCCUCUCCAACUCUGACAAGCAGAAGCUUAUUUUAUUUGCAAGGUUCGGAUUGCUCGGAAAUUUUCAGCUAUAUAGAGGGCUUGGAUGGUGAGCCAAAACUAUAUCUUGAGACAAAAUGGUUUGUACUAUGUCUCUUGCACUCUGCUGCAGCAAAAAAUUAGACAGAUCUCCCUCAUCUCUCACUGCAACCAAUGUGUCAAUCACAAUGUCACAAUUGUUGUAAAGCCCAUAGGUAAAGUUGAUGUACUUCAAGAAGCUUUCAUGGCUAUCCUCAAACUCGAAAAGGAGGUUUCUGCAAUAAUUUUAAGUUGCUCGAUAAAAAGAUCUAUUACAUUAUAUUUCAUUUGAUUCCUUUGUAAGAAACUAUUUUCACACCUAAUGCGUUCUUGCUUGCUUUCAAAUAACCAUGUUUUCAGAUGUAUUAAUCUUUUAUUUAAAUCAUAAUUAACAUAGACCAGA